UUUCUAGACCUGUGCAAUAGCACAAUAGGGCAACGGGUCAGGAUGGGAACAUAGCAGCCCACCUUGUUGUGUUGUGUGCCGCAGGUAUCUGGGGAGAG
rnacentral:SRP_RNA from 1 species